rnacentral:rRNA from 1 species
CGGAUAUCUUCGGAUAUGAGUGGCGAACGGGUGAGUAACACGUAGGGAAUCUGCCUGCAUGAGCGGGAGAACUUCUGGAAACGGAAGCUGAUACCGGAUGAGCAAAGAGGAGGCAUCUUCUUUUUGGAAAAGGGGACAAGAGUCCCGCAUGCAGAUGGACCUGCGGUGCAUUAGCUGGUUGGAGAGGUAACGGCUCACCAAGGCGACGAUGCAUAGCCGGCCUGAGAGGGCGGACGGCCACACUGGGACUGAGACACGGCCCAGACUCCUGCGGGAGGCAGCAGUAGGGAAUUUUCGUCAAUGGGGGGAACCCUGAACGAGCAAUGCCGCGUGAGCGAGGAAGGUCUUCGGAUCGUAAAGCUCUGUUGCCGGGGACAAAAGGCAGAAAGAGUGGAAAGCUUUCUGAGUGAUGGUACCCGGCGAGGAAGUCACGGCUAACUACGUGCCAGCAGCCGCGGUAAUACGUAGGUGGCGAGCGUUAUCCGGAAUGAUUGGGCGUAAAGGGUGCGCAGGCGGUCGGGCAAGUCCGCAGUAAAAACUGGAGGCUCAACCUUCAGGGGCUGCGGAAACUGUCCGGCUGGAGAGCAGGAGAGGACGGUGGAACUCCAUGUGUAGCGGUAAAAUGCGUAGAUAUAUGGAAGAACACCGGUGGCGAAGGCGGCCGUCUGGCCUGCAUCUGACGCUGAGGCACGAAAGCGUGGGGAGCAAAUAGGAUUAG